rnacentral:misc_RNA from 1 species
AAACUUAUCAAAUUUAAUUUUAAAAUAUUUUUAAUACUCUCUAGCUAAAAUAUUUUUAGAAAAGGUGUUUUUCUAAAGCGUAGCUCCAACAACAAUGCCAAACAAACUUGUAAUGGUGUCUUAGACGUGUUUCAUUUUUCUCAUUUUUGUUCACUGCGUUUCAAAGAAAAAGCAGCAUAAGAGAUUAGAGGAAGAGUGCCUGCUUGAGGAUUGAACCUAAUCAGCAGGAAAACAAAAAGAAAAUUAUAGGAAAAUCUUUGAAGUAAUCAUUAGCAAAUGUAUAGCAGCACCUUAAAACCAAGUAAAAAGAGAAGAUGGCCUUAAAAGAACAAACCAUUUGUGAAGCCAGUUGCAAUAGGGAAGAACAGACAAAGAAAAUGGAGUUGCAGAUUUAUAGUUCUUAAGAUUUGUGAAUUGAAGUUAUAAAAUGAACAGAAAUAGGAGAAAAGGCACCAUUUUGGUAAAUAAUAAUUAGCAAGAACAUAUAAAGAUAAUAACAAAAUUAUCUAGUUAAUUAUGAAAAAUAAACCACGAAUAUAUAUAAUCAUCCAUCAAUGACUAUGGAACUCCAUAAUUAAUUAUCUUUACAAGUCAUUUCUUCAUCUGAAUUAGCAUCAAGGUAAAAUUGUUGAUAUAAGCUAAUGCAAGAAUCAGGCUCUUGGAAUCAAAACAAGACAAUAAUAAAGACCCAUGUGAAAGAUAAUGUUUCUCGUGAUUAAAUGAUAAGUCUCAUUCUUCGAAGAUUUUAGAGCAAGGAAACAAGGAUGUACUUAAUGAUAAUUAUGGGGCAUGUAUAAAGAUCUAAAGCUGCAGAAAGGAUAUGUUAUAGUUAUUAUCCCUAGUUUUUUAGACAUGAAAUAUUGAUGCCCAUUAAUUUACCAUGAACAUAUAUAUAUAUGUAAACUGUUGAAUUUUGAAUGAAGAUCAGAAGCUGUCCUAUAUGGCUUUAGAUUCAUGCAGGUGAAUGGUUCCACUAAGUUAAUGUGCAAAUAACAAUUGGAACCUCAUGAUGAAAGAAUGAUAUAAUCUGUAUGAGUUGAAGAGCAAAAUCUGGAGAUCUUAUCAGGAACUAUACAUGGAGAUUAUGUUAGUGUAAAAACUCAAACCAAAUACUACAGAGAAUCAAGAAAUUCACUUGUAUAGCAAAGACAGGGAAAUUCUCCACAAACCACUAUAAUCUUUCUCCCCAUUUUAUGAAAAUAUUUUUUACAGUGAAAAGUGAUAUUUAACAUAAUUUUCUAUUGAAUAUCCCUCUUUGAUGAAAAAUCUACAUUUUCUUCGUGAAAGUCAUUCAUUUAUCUUAUUCUAAAAAAUAAUCUUGUAAGUGAUAGCUAACAAAACCCAAUUAAGCAAAAAAUAUUCAAUAGGAAAACCCCUCUUGACUUUCCAAAUCAAUAGAUGGUUAUUAUUAUCAUCAAUCGUUGCAAUUUGUUUUGAGGGGAUGGAGCGAAUGGAGGCUUGCUGAGCUGAAUGAAGUUAAAUGAAGGAAUAUACCCCAUAUUGGAUCACAGACUUGGAUAGUGAUAAAGGCACACAGAUUUCCACAAUCUUGAAAAUGACUGAAUUAUCAAUAUAUAUCAAGAAUCAUGAAGAUUAUUUGCUGGGAAAAAAAUUAAAAAGAAAAUUUAUAU